rnacentral:rRNA from 1 species
UACGUAGGGGGCAAGCGUUGUCCGGAUUCAUUGGGCGUAAAGAGCGUGUAGGCGGCCAGGUAGAUCGGUUGUGAAAACUGGAGGCUCAACCUUCAGAGGUCGACCGAAACCAUCUGGCUAGAGUCCGGGAGAGGAGAGUGGAAUUCCUGGUGUAGCGGUGAAAUGCGCAGAUAUCAGGAAGAACACCCGUGGCGAAAGCGGCUCUCUGGAACGGUACUGACGCUGAGACGCGAAAGCGUGGGGAGCGAACAGG